rnacentral:lncRNA from 1 species
GAAGAUUAUUGCCUUCGCAGGGAGCUGGCAUCUAAUGUCUUCCCUUGUGACUUCCCAAGAGGUGUUAUGACUUUGCUAACUUCUGUGGAGUUGUUGUGUCUAUACUCAGUGCCAUGGCACGGAGGAUGAAGACAGCUGUUGAAUAUGCAGCUAUUUGUAGAAUGAACUGAAAUACAGGAAUCACUUUUAUCAGGUAUGAAGAUUAUACCUUGAGCACAAUUUUUUGAAGAUAAUGAAGAUUGUGCUCAUUGAGGUCAUUUGGAACGGAUCUCAGACUGGCUGCCGUAAGCUCUGAACAUGAAACCUGCUACAGAUUGAUAGGGCA